GUUGAAAUUUUACAGCAAAUCUUUGCUGAUUGCUGUAUUACGGAAAUCUUGAGCAUGGGAGUAGAUAAUUUAUUUUCUGAUGAAGUGGUUAGAAUUCAUGGAUCUCAGAAGCAAUGUCACAGGCGAAGUCGAUUUUCUAGCUCAA
rnacentral:rRNA from 13 species